rnacentral:rRNA from 1 species
GACAGAGGGUGCAAACGUUGCUCGGGAUUACUGGGCGUAAAGAGCGUGUAGGCGGUCCGGUAAGUCCGUUGUGAAAGUCAAGGGCUCAACCCUUGAAUGCCGGCGGAUACUGCCGGGCUAGAGUCCGGAAGAGGCGAGUGGAAUUCCCGGUGUAGCGGUGAAAUGCGCAGAUAUCGGGAGGAACACCGAUGGCGAAGGCAGCUCGCUGGGACGGUACUGACGCUGAGACGCGAAAGCGUGGGGAGCAAACAGGAUUAGAAACCCUUGUAGU